GUAAAUUUUAUGUCAAAGUUGCUCAGUUGUAGGUUAAAGUUGCCCAGUUUUGUGUCAAACUUCAUAAAUUAUUGGUCAGAGAUGGUAAAUUCUAUGUCAAAGUUGCUCAAUAACAAACGGAAACAUCUCCAAUAAUCUGGUUUAUCCGUUGAUUUUUAGGGAGUUUUACGGUUUUCUAGAAACGUCUUCAAUUUCUUCACGUCAUUGAUCUCUUAAAGUAACAAACAUUUUAUCGAUUAUUGAUUUGUCUCUUUGCUUAACUAGAAGUUGUCUGUUUUUUCCUGCAAAGGUUUAUUUUUUUGUCAGGACUGUACAAUAAAAGAAAAACUUUAUCUAAUAUUUUACACUUAUAUCUAAAUUCAGUAAAAAUUAACAUCUGCACCUAAGAAAUCAAUUUAUAUGAAGGCGUUCCAAAACAUUUUUCAUUAGUUUUCUGUCGUAGUUUCUCAAAUAGUAAAGGACUACGAUGAGGCCCUGACUGUAAAUAUCAAAUCUCUAACUUUUUAAAAUGUUAAAUAUCUCAUUUUAGGAGACAUUAUUUUCUUUUUAUUGCUGAUUUUGUUGCUUUGUGUCGACUGUUGAUCGGUCGGAUUGUCAACCUGCUUCAUGCUUUUAUUCUGUCUUUAUUUUCUUAAUGUUUGAGGCACAUAAACGAACCGAGCAACACGUGAAGAAAUCUGUAAAAUAUGUUAAAAAUUAAAUGUAGUCGACGCAAAACAAACAUGGAAGCAAAGAAAAAAAACAAUAUUUUUUAUUUUAGAAGCAGCUGAAUACCGAAGAAAUCCUGAAAAAUAACCACUACUGAAUGUAGAUUGUCUAGAUCUAUUAACCACUACAAUCUGAAUAUCUCAAUCUGAUGUUAUGUGAUUCUAAAGUUCCCUCAAUUUGUAAACAAACUCAGAAUUUUAAAGCUGCAGAUCUUGGAAUUUCUGGUGCAAAAUUAAACCAGCUAGUAUGGAUUUUUAAAAAUAUACACAUAUAGAAAAAUACUGAAUAAAUGCUUUAAAUUCUGUGGUUGCCUUCAAAAAGAUUUUUAUAAUUUUUUUUGCUUCCAUAGUUUUGGGUCAAGAUUUAUUAUUAAUUUACUGACAAUUGAGGAUUUAAUUUAAAAAAAAGAUUUAAACAAUUCUUUUACAUUUUAUUUAGGAUAUGUGAAUGUAUUCAUAAUGUUUAAAUAAUUAUAUUUCACUACCAAAACGUUGUUCAAUUAUAGGUCAAAAUGGUAAAUUAUAGGUCAGUUACCCAAUUAUAGGUCAAAGUUGCCCAGUUAUCAGUUAAAGUUGCCCCAUUAUGGUUUAAAGUUGCCUAAUUGUAUAUCAAAAUUGCUCAAUUAUAGGUUAAAGUUGCCAAAUUUUAUGUCAAAGUUGCCCAGUUGUAGGUUAAAGAUGGUACUUUUUAUGUCAUAGUUGCUCAAUUUUAAGUCAAAGUUGCUCAAUUAUGGGUUAAAGCAGCUAAAAUGUAGGUCAAAGUUACCCAGUUAUUGAUUAAAGUUGCCCCAUUAUGGUUUAAAGUUGCCUAGUUUUAUAUCAAAGUUGCUCAAUCUUAUGUCUCAGUUUCUUGAUUAUUGAUGAAUUCUAGGUCAGUUUUAAGUCAAAGCUGCUCAACCUGUUGCCGUCCAUCACUGAGUCCUGAACUCGGACUUCUGAUCCCAGAAUCAUUUUUAAAGUGAUGUUGUUGUCAUGAACGUAAAUUCUGGGUUCACUGAAGCACAGACGAGUUUUAUUUGACUUUAUCUGUGUUUGUUUUUGAAGCGGUGAAAUUUAAAAUCUCUGUCCAUCCUUUUGUUGUAGUUUUUAUUCCUGUCAGAGUUUCUCCUCCUACAUGUGGAGUCGUGAUGAUUUGUGGAGUCGUGAUGAUUUGUGGAGCGGUUCUGUGGACGGCUGCUGCUGGAGACUCUCAGGAUUCAGGUCUAGAAAGAAACACAGAAGAAAAAUAAUAUUCAGGCAGACGUAAAAAAUGAGGAAGUAGCUAACGUACACUGUAAGAAAAUAUGAAUGAAAACAUGAUAAAAAAAAAUCUGGCAGCAAAAAUAUGAAAAAUGGUGUAAAAAAAACCUGAAAAAACCUUGCGAUUUUAUUUAAUGGUAACUUACCAUAAAUUUAUGGUAUUCAACUUUAAUUUGAUAGCCUCAGCAAUUACAUAAAAAUUUAAUAUUUGUAAAGUUACGAUAAAUUUUAAAAAAAAAUCUUUUCUUCGUUUUUUAGGAACAGAUUUUCAUUGUUUUGUAAAAAUACAGAUAAUAAUUAGUAAAAUCACAGAAAAAAAGUAUUUUUACCAUAAAAUUUAAACUAAUUGUAAAUUACUAAAGCAGAAAAAGCUGCUAAAACUGUUUUUACAGUGUGAUCUAUAUGUGUUUAUUGUCCAUUUAAUAUUUUUAUUUCAAUAUGAGAUUCAAUUAAUUUUUCUAAUGGAGCCACAUAUUAGACAUGAUAUGUUCAGGGACCCUUGGAAAGUUGAAAAACUGAUGAUUUUUUCUGUUUUUACAUUUUCUGGGUUUGACAGCUGGUGGAAUUUUGGCGAUUGCAUUUAAACAUAACACACCUUCAUCAGGAUUUAAAAAUAUUAGAAUAUUAACUCACAGGAGGAAUCUGAUUAAAAUAAACGUUUGUAAUCAUUUCUCAUCACUCUGCUCAGUAACCACGGCGACACAUUGGAUGCUGCAUCAUCCUCACGUUCCGCUCCACAUCUCAGAGGCUCCUAGAAUCUGAAUAAUCCUAAAAACAAACGUUUGAAUGUGACAUGAGAUCAUUCUCUGUAACUCUCCUCCAUGUUAACUGUGUUUGCAGUAAAUAAACGCUCCUGUUUCUGACCGGUUCUGUUAAACUGGUGACUUCAUUACGGUGCUGUUAGAGAGUAACGAGGUCACAAAUCGUGAACAAGUCGAGGAAAUGGGCUGAAGUUCCAACAGAUUAUUUUGUUUACUCUCUGACUGCGCUGUAACGGAGGAAAGUUUGUCUGCAGAUUUGUUUUGUGAGCAGAAGUGAUGUUUGUCCGGCGAUUCCUUGUACAGCUUUACUGGUUUUGAAGAAUAAAAUGAUCAAAUUCAGGUUGUUUCAUUGUUUUGUUGUGUG
ensembl:lncRNA